GAAAUGCGAUAAGUAAUGUGAAUUGCAGAAUUCCGUGAAUCAUCGAAUCUUUGAACGCACAUUGCGCCCUCUGGCAUUCCGGGGGGCAUGCCUGUCCGAGCGUCAUUACGCACCCUCAAGCCCGGCUUGUGUGAUGGGCCCCGGCGUCUCGUUCGCGAGACGGGCCCGAAAGGCAGCGGCGGCGUCGACCCGAUGAGCCCGAGCGUAUGGGGACUUCUGUCACACGUUCGCGGUGGUUGGACCGACGUCACGUCCGGCUCUCGAGUUCUUCUCUCUCUCAGGUUGACCUCGGAUCAGGUAGGGAUACCCGCUGAACUUAAGC
rnacentral:misc_RNA from 1 species